AGUGAACGCUGGCGGUAGGCCUAACACAUGCAAGUCGAACGGCAGCACAGGAGAGCUUGCUCUCUGGGUGGCGAGUGGCGGACGGGUGAGGAAUACAUCGGAAUCUGCCCAGUCGUGGGGGAUAACGUAGGGAAACUUACGCUAAUACCGCAUACGACCUUCGGGUGAAAGAGGGGGAUCGCAAGACCUCUCGCGAUUGGAUGAGCCGAUGUCGGAUUAGCUAGUUGGCGGGGUAAUGGCCCACCAAGGCGACGAUCCGUAGCUGGUCUGAGAGGAUGAUCAGCCACACUGGAACUGAGAUACGGUCCAGACUCCUACGGGAGGCAGCAGUGGGGAAUAUUGGACAAUGGGCGCAAGCCUGAUCCAGCCAUACCGCGUGGGUGAAGAAGGCCUUCGGGUUGUAAAGCCCUUUUGUUGGGAAAGAAAUCUUUCAGGCUAAUACCCUGGGAGGAUGACGGUACCCAAAGAAUAAGCACCGGCUAACUUCGUG
rnacentral:rRNA from 1 species